AACACCAGACUCCAUAUCAAUUUUUGAGUGUGUUUUCCCUGCUAAGGAAUGAACAUGUUAAAAAUGGGAUAAAGGAAAAUUGGUUUAUGUGAAUGCAGUUACAGAAACAGAAAUGACAGCAUCUGAAGUGAGAGAAAAACCUGAAGGCUGAGUGUCAUCAUGCUAGAGAUGUUCCAUGGCAAAUACAGAAUGAACAGCUACAUCAAAUGCAGAUCUGGACAGAAUUUUACAGCAAAACCAGCAUUCCUUCCAUUUAAAUGCCAUCUAGGGGGAUUUCCACAUGCAGGGAACACUUCAGAAUUGAGUGACCUCUUCCAAGUCAUUACAAGAAGGUGGUGUUCAACAAUGCAAUCCAAAUCAUCUUAUUCGGCAUGUGUGUUUCAGCUUGUGGCUUUCCCUUACACCUGACAGACAAAUUACAAAGUCUGAAGGGCCUGUGACAGGCCUGAGCAACAAUGAAAUGGUCUACUGCUCAGCUCGGCCUCUGCCAGCACUGUGGCUCCUCCAGUCUUAGACUCCUCCAGCAAUACCAGCUCAUGCCCUGACCUAUUUGGGAGCCUUCAUCAACAGGAGGACAUUUCUGGUCAUUUUGUCCUGUUCUGCUGAAAUGCAAGUGCCCCUGAAUGCUGCCCGUUGGGAUGGGGAGAGCCGUCCAUCCAGAUGGUACCAU